UAAUAGCGGUUGUGUGUGUGUGUGCUCCGCACGUAUGACGUCAAAAUGUCCAACGUGGAUGGCACAUCGAGAAGUUUUCACCUAUUCUCUUCUUGCAAAUAAAUUAAUGACAAACUGCUCCUAUACGUAAACUAUGAUUUUGGAAGAGAAUGGCGGAAGAGGGGGUUGUCCAACACCACUUUGGAACGGAAUACCUGGGUGCUUCAAAUGUUUCCACUUCCAUUGCUUCUGAUGGAAUUUUUAUGGAUUCAAUUCGUCGAUUACCAACGCGAUGUAGUCCGAGAUGUACUUCACGGGAAAAGACAUGUCACUCGUUGGACGCCGCUACUAGAGCAGCCAGGUGAAGCCACGUCCUCGCCACGCGUUCAAUGCAUUUUGUGUUGGAGAAUGGUAAUAUUGGCCUGCAAGAUCUUCGUCACUAUUUCUUCAUGUCACUCGUUUGGAGGCCACUGCUAGAGCAACCAGAUGAAGCACGUCCUCAUUACGCGUUCCGUGCAUUUUGUGGAUGAAGCUUUCCGGAAAAGAUGGAGUCGGAGAUACGGCCAUAUUGGUCUGCAAGAUCUUCGCCACUAUUUCCUCAUGUCACUCGUUGGAGCCGCUACUAGAGCAGCCAGGUGAAGCCACGUUCUCACUUCGCGUUCCAUGCAUUUUGUACAUGAAACUUUCCGGAAAAGAUGGAGUUUGAGGUAUUGACCUGCAAGAUCUUCGUCACUAUUUCUUAUAAAAAGAUGAAAAUAUGCUCCGCUUUGUCCAACACCACUUUGGAACAGAAUAUCCGGGUGCGACAAAUAUUUCAACUUCCAUUGCUCCUGAUGGAAUGUUUAUGGAUUCAUUUCUUCGUUUACCAACGCGAUGCUGCCCGAGAUGUCGAUACUUCACGGGAAAAGACCGGUCUCAAGCAGUACCUACCUACCCUCCAUCGCUAGCUUAACGACGACACUUUUCCGUUGCGAAGACCGAAGCAACCUAGUCAACUCUGCA